rnacentral:rRNA from 1 species
AGUGAACGCUGGCAGUAGGCCUAACACAUGCAAGUCGAACGGCAGCACAGUAAGAGCUUGCUCUUACGGGUGGCGAGUGGCGGACGGGUGAGGAAUACAUCGGAAUCUACUUUUUCGUGGGGGAUAACGUAGGGAAACUUACGCUAAUACCGCAUACGACCUACGGGUGAAAGCAGGGGAUCUUCGGACCUUGCGCGAUUGAAUGAGCCGAUGUCGGAUUAGCUAGUUGGCGGGGUAAAGGCCCACCAAGGCGACGAUCCGUAGCUGGUCUGAGAGGAUGAUCAGCCACACUGGAACUGAGACACGGUCCAGACUCCUACGGGAGGCAGCAGUGGGGAAUAUUGGACAAAGGGCGCAAGCCUGAUCCAGCCGUACCGCGUGGGUGAAGAAGGCCUUCGGGUUGUAAAGCCCUUUUGUUGGGAAAGAAAAGCAGCAGGUUAAUACCCCGCUGUUCUGACGGUACCCAAAGAAUAAGCACCGGCUAACUUCGUG